rnacentral:rRNA from 1 species
GCUACGGGAGGCAGCAGUGGGGAAUGUUGCGCAAUGGGCGUAAGAGUGACGCAGCGACGCCGCGUGAAUGAAGAAGGCCUUCGGGUCGUAAAGUUCUUUCGACAGGGAAGAAAAUGCCUAUAAGUAACUGUGUAUGUAUUGACGGUACAUGUAUAAGCAGUCCCGGCUAACUCCGUGCCAGCAGCCGCGGUAAUACGGGGGGGCCGAGAGUUGUUCGUGGUGACUGGGCGUAAAGAGAACGUAGGCGUUGUUGUAAGUCAUUAGUCAAAGACUAGAGCUCAACUUUAGUAAGGCUAGUGAUACUAGCAUACUAGAGUAUCAGAGAGGAUUGCAGAAUUCCUGGUGUAGCGGUGAAAUGCGUAGAUAUCAGGAGGAAUACCGUUAGCGAAGGCGGCAAUCUGGCUGGAAACUGACGCUGAGGUGCGAAAGCGUGGGUAGCAAACAGGAUUAGAUACCCUGGUAGUC